ensembl:snRNA U6 U6 spliceosomal RNA
AUGCUUGCUCAGCAGCACAGAUACCAAAACUGGACCUAUACAGAGAUGAGCAUGGCCCCUUUGCUAGAUGACGUGCAAAUCUGUGAAGCAUUCCAUGAAAAA